UCUCUCACACUCUUUCAAUGAAUACUAAUGCAGCGUGUGGGCCCUCCUCCCAUCUUUUCGCAGGCAGGGAUGGGCGGGCGAGCGGGGAGACAGAGCAGCUCAGUAUCCUCGCUCAUGAAGCAGCCAGUGCUCGACUCGCAGCAGCAGAGCCCAAUGCCUUUUUUUUUUCCUCCCACCCGGCAGCGUUGAGACUUUGUGUUGCCGCUGCAACAAUGCCCAACCUGUGUGAGCGGCGUGCGGCUCCAGAGCAGAGCUGAGAGAGAGAGAGAGAGAGAGGAGAGAGAGGAGAGGACGUCUCUGCCUGCUUUUUGUCAUCUGGAUGGGAAGUGUUUUUUGGGAGGAGAGACAGAAGAAAGCAGCCGGGGAAGGGGAACAACUGGCAGCAGCCAAUCCCCCCCUUCCACCCUCAGACUGGAGACGACGGAGGCCACUGGAGUAUUUGCUUUUAUCUUUCGUUUUUUGUUCUUUUUUUUCCUCAUCGCGCUGCUGGGAGGUGCUUUACCUUUUCAUUUGCUUGCUCUCUCGGUCCUCUGUCUUCUCAUCUAUUUCGCCAUUUACCUGGUCAACAAUUUCUUCUAUUUAUGAGCCAGACAAGGAGGGGGGAGAGAGGCAGAGAGACAGAGAAAAAGAGAAAGAGAAAAGGGGAGGGGGAUUUUUUUUUUUACCCCCUUUUAUUCUCUUUUUUUUUCUCCCCUUCAUUCAUCCUCCCUUUCCUUCUCCAUCGCUUCCACUUCCAGCCUUUUCUAUCCCUGUGCAGCCCACGCUCCCUCCUCCCCUCCUCCCCUCACUGCCUCCCUCUUCCUCCCCCCCUCCCUCCCGCUCCGCUCACUGUCCACCCUUAACUUUGGCUACUUUUUUGACUCCACCUGUGUUUUAAUUUCCUUUCUCCCCCCCCCCCCCCCCCCACUGAUAGAGACGUUUUAAUUGGCUUGCUUGUCUUUUCUAUUUAUGCCUUUUUCACUUUUGUACCUUUUUCCUAUUUCCUGUUCCCCCUUCUCUUUUUUCCUCCCUCCAUCCUAUGCAUCUUUUUUGGGCGAUUCUUAAAUCUAACCAUAGGAGAUUUAAUGCCUCUCCUCUUCUGAAGAGAAUGGGAAGUGGGACUUUUGACCAGCUGCCACCCUGAUAAAGGCGCCCUGGAUUUAGCUGUUUUCCUGUGGAAUUACCCUUUAAAUCCUGGAUUCGACCCCUAAUGAAAACAAAAUUAACAGUCGUUAAAAACUGUCCUUAAUUGGGGACUUUCUUUUUGACUUCUUUUUCUAACGGACUGAAGCUGAUUUUCAAUAUUUCUUUUUUCCAACUAUUGAAUCUUAACGGGAUUUCACUGACGCGGAUUAAAGACUCCAGCAGCAUCUUUGUCUGUUAGUCGAUGUGUUAGACGAGAUUCUUGCCGCCAAAAUCCAUUAAAAUCAAUAUUUUCUAAUGUUAAGGUUUUCAUAGAGAAACAAGCAAACGUCUCAUCGGAGGAGCGAAGGGGAGAACGGACGUGAAGCUGCUCCUGUGGAGUACAGUCACCUCCAAAGUGCUGCUCCCCCCCUCCCCCCACCGCCCCCCCCACCCGACGCAUCCAGGAUUUUACCUAAAACUGCUUUGAGCCUCCCUCAGUCUGAGGCUAUGAGAGGGAGAGAGGAGUCCCAGGCUGUACCAUCAUGCUUCUUCUGAGACGCUGGGAUGAGACUUUGGCUGGCAAAACACAAGGUAAGAAAAACAUCGAUUUCCACAUUUCCUCAUGUUGUCUCUGCAGAGAAUGAAAACACAAAAACAGACCGUGCCUCACCUGGGUGUGUUUGUGCGCCUGUAGCCUCUGUGUGUGUGUUGCCUCUCCUCGAGCUCGGUGAUGGAUGGUCCGUAAACUUUCAGAGACUUUAUUUGCUUCACCAGAUUUUUCUGGAGGGUGAUGUGAAGGGUUGAAGGUGGAGCCUGCAGAUGUUUGGUUCCUGAUGUUUUAGCACAGUUUGCACUUUGAUCAGCUGCUCACCUGACCCCGCUCUUAUUGACUAUCGGGCUCAUCUGCAUGGCUCUACAGGCAUCGAUCAGGCAAUUAAAGGAUUUGUCCGAUGAGAUUUCUGUGGCAGAUGUGAGAAGUGGCGGCUGGGUGCGGGUGCUUUGUGCGAUGAGAUAAAAGAAGACAUCAUUCUCUCUCUCGUCCCGGCACCAAAUUACACAGAGAAAGUGUAUUUCGCCAUGAGGGCCCGAUGCGAGGCCAUUAUCAUAUCAGCACAUUCCAUCGCCUCCUCGUACAUUCAUCUCCUCGCUACAUGGUGCAAAGAGGCUUUCUUCAAAUUUCACCUUUUUUCCCUCCCUCCAUUUUUCUGUUUUCAUCUCAUCCCAUGCUCCGUAAAUC